rnacentral:rRNA from 1 species
AUUGAACGCUGGCGGCAGGCCUAACACAUGCAAGUCGAGCGGAUGAAGGGAGCUUGCUCCUGGAUUCAGCGGCGGACGGGUGAGUAAUUCCUAGGAAUCUGCCUGGUAGUGGGGGAUAACGUCCGGAAACGGGCGCUAAUACCGCAUACGUCCUGAGGUAGAAAGUGGGGGAUCUUCGGACCUCACGCUAUCAGAUGAGCCUAGGUCGGAUUAGCUAGUUGGUGGGGUAAAGGCCUACCAAGGCGACGAUCCGUAACUGGUCUGAGAGGAUGAUCAGUCACACUGGAACUGAGACACGGUCCAGACUCCUACGGGAGGCAGCAGUGGGGAAUAUUGGACAAUGGGCGAAAGCCUGAUCCAGCCAUGCCGCGUGUGUGAAGAAGGUCUUCGGAUUGUAAAGCACUUUAAGUUGGGAGGAAGGGCAGUAAGUUAAUACCUUGCUGUUUUGACGUUACCAACAGAAUAAGCACCGGCUAACUUCGUG